rnacentral:rRNA from 1 species
UUGGAGGGCAAGUCUGGUGCCAGCAGCCGCGGUAAUUCCAGCUCCAAUAGCGUAUAUUAAAGUUGUUGCAGUUAAAAAGCUCGUAGUUGAGUUUCGGGAUUGACGUGAUGGUCAUGCCUUAAGGGGUAUGAACUGUUACUGUUGAUUUCUCACCUUCUGGAGAAACUUGAUGUCCUUUAUUGGGUGUCUUGCGGAUCCAGGACCUUUACCUUGAAAAAAUUAGAGUGUUUAAAGCAGGCAUUUUUGCUCGAAUACAUUAGCAUGGAAUAAUAGAAUAGGACGGCAUGGUUCUAUUUUGUUGGCUUCUAGGAUCACCGUAAUGAUUAAUAGGGAUAGUUGGGGGCAUUAGUAUUCAAUUGUCAGAGGUGAAAUUCUUGGAUUUAUUGAAGACUAACUACUGCGAAAGCAUCUGCCAAGGAUGUUUUCAUUAAUCAAGAACGAAAGUUAGGGGAUCGAAGACGAUCAGAUACCGUCGUAGUCUUAACCAUAAACUAUGCCGACUAGGAAUCAGACGAUGUUAAUUUUUUAAUGACUCGUUUGGCACCUUACGGGAAACCAAAG